rnacentral:rRNA from 1 species
UGGGGAAUAUUGGACAAUGGGCGAAAGCCUGAUCCAGCCAUGCCGCGUGUGUGAAGAAGGUCUUCGGAUUGUAAAGCACUUUAAGUUGGGAGGAAGGGCCAUUACCUAAUACGUGAUGGUUUUGACGUUACCGACAGAAUAAGCACCGGCUAACUCUGUGCCAGCAGCCGCGGUAAUACAGAGGGUGCAAGCGUUAAUCGGAAUUACUGGGCGUAAAGCGCGCGUAGGUGGUUAGUUAAGUUGGAUGUGAAAUCCCCGGGCUCAACCUGGGAACUGCAUUCAAAACUGACUGACUAGAGUAUGGUAGAGGGUGGUGGAAUUUCCUGUGUAGCGGUGAAAUGCGUAGAUAUAGGAAGGAACACCAGUGGCGAAGGCGACCACCUGGACUGAUACUGACACUGAGGUGCGAAAGCGUGGGGAGCAAACAGGAUUAGAUACCCAUGUAGUCCCUGAGCGGGCUGGCAAGGCGCAU